CCUUCUGCUGUGCGCGGGGCGGGGCGGCGCGGGGCGGGCCGAGAGCGGCGUCGUCAGGGCGGGGCCAGGGCGGGGCCGUGG
rnacentral:miRNA from 1 species